rnacentral:misc_RNA from 1 species
AAGAAAGGGAAGGGGAAAUAUUUGGAUGCAGAAGAACAACUGGUUCCUAUUGUUCGUUUGGACAAUGACAUGUUUGUCUUGGUGGAUGACGUCUUGCUAUUGCUUGAGAGGGCUGCCUUGGAACCGCUGCCUCCAAAGGAUGAGAAAGGUAUCCAUAACCGUACAAAGGAUGGUGCUUCUGGAGAGGACUUUAACAAAUAUUCCAUUGAGCGUGAUGAGAGGCGCCUAACUGAACUAGGUCGUCGAACCAUUGAAAUAUUUG